rnacentral:lncRNA from 1 species
GUGGGUAUGGUUGUCCUGCGAGAGAACGUUCUGUGCUGGUGAUUCGGUCCUGACGGGUGCUGGUGAUCAAUGAAAAAUGUAAACAAAGACGAAAAUGAUGAUUUUUGACGUUUUCACUCAUAAAAAAUUGAAGAAAACAGUUGAGAUUUUUCAAUUUUGUUUCUUAUGGGUUCAUAUGUAAACCAUUAAAAAGUUGACCCUCUAAACUGUUUCAGUAAGCGUAACACAAAAAUGCUCAUUUUCAGAAAAUCAAGAACUGAAAAAAUAAAACAAAAAUGCUCAUAGAGUCCGCUUUCUAUACCGCAAUCCACACG